rnacentral:lncRNA from 1 species
AGGCCUGUUGCAUUGGGCUAGGCUGAGCUCAGGCCGGACUAAGUUUGCAGGUCAUGUCAGGUCAGGCUUUUGGUUAGGCAAGGCCAUGCUAGAUUUUGUCUAUAAAUUAGAGGUCUUUUUGCAGCCUUUCAGGUCAGGCCGGUCUGGCCCAAGCUUUGACCAGACCUAUAUUUGACCAGGCAGUGCUGAUACGCAAAGAUAGAUUAUAUUUUGAUCUGUAUGUCGAUAUUGUAUUGAUUAAUUGAUCAAAAUUAAUUUCAUGUUAACUACUCUUAAUGUAGAGUGCAAGCUGGUCAUGAGAAAGAUUUGCCUCUGGAACUCGUCAAAGUUCGGCGACCGAGUCAACUCGUCGAGAUCGACGAUUGAACCCAUUGUGUAUGAAUCACUGUGAGAGAGAGAGAAAUGGAGUAGUGUGGGUGGGAUGAUGGUGGUAGCGAUAAAGGCAAAUUGAAAGAAAAGGACGAAGUGAUGACGUGGAUGAGGUUUGGUGCGUCAUGUGGGAAGACGUUUGACAUAAAGGUUAGACAGAUAGUUUCUAGGAUGAGCGGAGAGUGCGUAAGAUAAAAGAAUAGAGAGGGCGUGUUUGACAUAAAGGUUAGACAAAUAGUUUCUAGAAUACAGAGGGCGUGUUUGAUUGGUUGGCCAAAUUAGAUAAGAUCCAAAAUUAUUCAUAGGAACUG